rnacentral:lncRNA from 1 species
AGGGGAGGGGAGGGGGGGACGUGGGGAAGGAACUAGCUAGGAAGAACAGGAGGAAGUAUACAAGUGGAGUUGUUGAAGAGAAUAAAGGCAGGACACGUAAGGUGUGGCUCAUUCUUUUAAUAUUUUAAAAGGCAUUGCUCAUGUGGUAAGGCUGUAUAAAAGCUGCAUUUAUAUUUGUGCUCUAUUUAUUUAAGAAGUUGUUUACUU